UAAUAAUAAUUUACAACAUUUAUAUAGCGCCCUAUAUAAUUUGUAAAAUUACUCUAAAGUGCUUAUCAAGUAAACGUAGCAAGCGUAAUCGAAAUCUGAAUUGACCGCCAUGUUGGAGAGUUCGUCUCUUCACCGAUAUAGGUCAGACGUCCAAAUAUGGGUGUCAUGACCCAAUAUGGAAAUUGUAGUAAACAUGGCGGCAUCAGUAAUAAUACUAUAUUUGCCCAUGCAUGGCAUAUAUAGAGAGUAUAAUUGAGAUAACAUCAGACGUGAUCUGUCACGGCGGUCGUUUCUAAAAACAAAUCCCCAAGACGGAGUUUGUUCAUUUGGUUUUUGCAUGGGUAAGGUUCGUUUUUUCAACAAUUAUGCAAUAUUUUGAUAACAUUAUACUCAUAUGAGGCUUGAAUUAUAUGCAAUCUUACAGAUUAAAACUUUUGAUUUUGCUCCAUUAGAGAGCAUAGGACCACUUCGCAAUAUAUCAGAAAGCUACUUUAUUGCAGCUAAGGUGAUGCAAAUCUUAUUUCAUUGCAAGAUAGUGUAUACAACACUAUAUGACAUUCGACGGACGUAUAUUGUUCCCCCCCGCAGGACUCUUGUUGUACAUCGUCGUCCAUCUGUCCGAAAACAAUUGACAUUUUCUACUUCUGUCAGUUCUUAACCAAUUUCAAUGAAAUUUUACAUUUAACAUUCCAUGACCAAAGGUCAACCAAAAUUGUAAAUUAUCGUCACUCCCCACCCCAAGGGGCGUGAGAGGCGGGCCUAAAAGGGUCAAAUUGACUGACAUUUCAAAAAUCUUCUUCUCAAUUAAAACCCAGGUAUGGUAGAAUCAAAUACGGUUCUCUUAACCAAAAUUGUGACUUUUCUAUGACCCCGAAUCUUACAUUUCCUCGUGGGGAGAGAGUACAAUUUGCAAUAGAGUAGGCCAAAUAAAAAAAAUGUGUUUGUUUCUACUAACCCGGCCAACUGACUGAGUAAAAAAUAAAAUGUCACCAAAUACGGAGAACCUGUUAUUUUUGGGGUCCUUGAAUAGUAUCACCCAAAAUCCUGGUCAGUCGGAUGUUUUAUAGUGGCCUGGUUGUAUCUUCUUUGAAGCAUCCUAUUAAAUAUCCAGACUUGUGAUCUCAAAAUGGCCUUGCAUGAAACCCAUGUCAGCACCUCAUGUUUUCCAGCUAAGCAGGCGUAGCAUGGCGCCAUGCCCUAUCCUACUUUUCAAAACACACUGUCUCCUGAUGUAAAUUCUAUGUCCUGGCUGUUUUUGAGCCUUUUUUGUUUGUAAAAACUUGCUAAAAGGUUUGUAAAUAACCAACAGAACCACAUAACUCCACCCCCCUGGCAGCGAUGCUGACUUUGCAGUCAGUCACUAAUUCAUUGUCCUAAUUUUGUAUUGUAAUUAAAUUGAAUUAAUACUCCUGGCCUCCAGAUGUAGCGAGUCUAGCGACCAGUCGGCCACGUCUAAUAUUAUCACUGAUAAUUGAUGUGAAAUCAAAUGAUGGAAUUAUUUUCAAAUCAGCAAAUGUUUGUGUUUUGCUUUUCUUUUCUAGAUCGUGUCUGACCUGGGUGGACCACGAAAAGAAUUUUGCCGUUUAGUAUUGAUGGGCAUCAAAGAAAAAUACUUUGAUCAUGAUCUUAGGAGUUUGCUCUGUGAAGACCAUAUGUCACCAUGACCACUAGCAAGAUAUUUGGACUGCCUUCUGAGAUCAGCAUACAGAAAGCUUACAGCAAGGGCGUUGACACAUUAUUUGAAGCCGAAGUUUUCAGAGACAAGUUCCAACAGCAGGAUCCUAGAGGGAGCAGUAUACGCUGCCUUUAUGAGAUAUGUUUGUGAAGUUGCCAGUGGAAGAGGAGGUGUGACAUUAUCACAGAUUUUGGAGUUUGUAACGGCAGCCAGCGAGGAGCCUGCGUUGGGUUUUUCCAUUGGCCUUUCUAUCGAAUUUGUAGUGAUGAGUACCAGUUUCAUUCCAACUGCUGUAUAUAUCUACCAAGAUAAACGACAACAGUGAAAUUGCCUGAAGAUGAGCAAUUGUUUAGCUUGUACGACUACGCGUUCCAAAAUAAAUAUUUUGGAAUACUAUAAGGCAGUGCAUCUUGGCUGAGAAACGUUAUACAUAUACCUGUUAAUUGACUGUUUUUGAAGGACAAACAAAAAUGUCAUUAUUUGAUUUUCAUACAUUGUUGAAGUGAAAAACAGAAAAUCUGCUUUGGCAUUAAAACUAAAAUAUGCAGUUUUGUAAUGCAAGGAAGAAUUAAUAUACAAUAGAUUAUAAUUAUUUGUGAGAAAAAAGUACUGAUUUCAAUAAAACUUUGUAGUGAUGUACUUGUGGUAAUGGUCUGUGUGUUUCUGCGUUGACAGGUUGUUUGUCGUCCAUCUGUCCAUUAUCAACUCUUUUAUACAUACAAGCCUUUGUCAGUCAUCCAAGAUUAUACAGUACAUGUUUAUCUGUGGUCAAUUAGAUCAAAUUGCAUUAUAUAUUCAACCAACCAACUUUCAGAAUCACCAGACUAAGGUAAAAUCAGUAAUAACCAUACCUGUGGUAAUGAUCGGAUUCUGUACUCAAAAAAGUGUUUACUCUUGAUGUGGCAGCUGAGCAGGGAAAUUGGGUAAAGUCAAGGUUAUCUUGGCUACAGUUACUUGGGUGAUCAUUAAGACCCAUAGGCCUCUUGUAUUUGAAAAAUAUUGUAAGGGUCUGGGCAAUAUAUUGUUAAAUCAGCCCACAUGGUUAAAUGGGAUUUUGUCAGAGGGAAAAGCUCCUAACAAGCAAAAUGGGUGCAGGUUAAGCUACAAAAUUCUAUCAUACUAGAAAUUGGAAAUCUUGAGUUUAUGUGGAUGAGGCAGUAAUUAGAUAUUUCUGAGUAUAUUGUGACAACUAACAAGACAGUACUCACUGUGAAGCACUGAUUGUAUUAAUGUAACAUCAAAACUAACUUUAUUUCAAAAUCCAGGUGUCGGAGUGAUACUGGCUCAUAGGGCAUCGUUUUAUAUACUUAUUCUACAUGUAUAUAGUUUGCUCUACUUUUAUCAUACCAGUAAGGCCUAUUGUUUUAGCUUUUCCUAACUUUUAGUUGAUAUAUUCCAUGUGUCACUUUAAAUAGCUAAAGCUUUUUUAUGACAAUAUUUCACCAAUCUGAAGUCAACAAGUAAUUAUUAUGAAUUUAAUUUUCGACAAAAACGUUUGCUUAAAGGACAUCACUUGAACUUGUAUGUUUGAAGAACUUGUGAUUUUAUAUUGAUAUCAUUUGUUUUUAAUAGAAACUAUAGUAACAUGGAUAGAAAUUUAGAGUAAUGACAUUUGGAGUAAUAAUAGUUUUUAUUAUACGCCCGUCGAAAUUCAACGGGCAUAUUAUGGCAUUGCGUCUGCAUCCGUUCGUCCGGUUAAAAUUUUGGUGCAAGUUUCUACAGUGGUCUACAGUUCAGUCAGAUGAUGUGUUAUUGUCCUAAUUUUUGGCAUGGAUGAUCUUGUUGGGUCUUAAAAGGACAGUAUGGGUUUUUUUUCGUUUUUUUUUAUGUGUUUGGGACUUAAUAUUCCACAGGCGAUUUCUCGGUUAAAGUUUUGGUGACAUGACACUGGCUACCAGGUACUUUAAAAUAUCAAACAAACAAAAAUUCAUUGGAAAGGCGUAUUAUUUGCAUAUGUUUGCGUUGUUAUAAUUAUACCC